rnacentral:rRNA from 1 species
UACGUAGGGUGCGAGCGUUGUCCGGAAUUACUGGGCGUAAAGAGCUCGUAGGUGGUUUGUCGCGUUGUCCGUGAAAACUCACAACUCAAUUGUGGGCGUGCGGGCGAUACGGGCAGACUGGAGUACUGCAGGGGAGACUGGAAUUCCUGGUGUAGCGGUGGAAUGCGCAGAUAUCAGGAGGAACACCGGUGGCGAAGGCGGGUCUCUGGGCAGUAACUGACGUUGAGGAGCGAAAGCGUGGGGAGCGAACAGG